AGAAAUCACAUUCGGAAAAUGUGGAAAUUAGCUAGAGCAGCAGGUGUUGUAGCGAAACUGAUUGCAUAAGAGGAAAGCAAUUGAACCUUCUUCCCCACGAAUUCAAAUCAGUAGCGAGAGAGAUGGGACCGAGAGAGAUAGAAAGAGAGAGAUGGUGAGGGUGAGAUGCAGAGAGGGACGUGAGACAGGGAGACACUGGAGAAAGGAACAAUGUGGUCGUGUCUCGAUGGCAGAGGUGCAGGCCGUGCGCGGAUGUGGUCGUAGUGGUGCGUGUCGUUUGUGGGCUUGAAGACAACGCAUGCCAUCCCGAUUUGCGGAGAAAAAUUGGCAACGAUGGUGGAUGAGUGGUGGUGGAGCUUGGCUGCUUUAUGGAGCUUGUUCGAUUCAGUUGAUUAUGUCACAAUUAGGAUUUGUUUCCUUGAAUUACAACAUGGCCUUACAUUCAUCUUCCCUCUGAAUCAACAAGCAGAGAGACAAGGGUAUUGCAGAAACCGAUGGUUGUCGACUUCAAAUUUUGGCUUCUUUGAUGUUGGUGUUGUUGGGGUAUGUGGGUCUGGUUUUGGAGCGAGUAGUGAUUUUGAGGGUUGAGAAAGUAGCCAUGAUCCAUGAGGCAGAGGUGGUGGUGCCCAGAGGCGGUGGCGGCGCUGCCCAGAAGCGGCGAUGGUGGUUGUGUAGGUAUUGGAUGAGCUUCGAUAAAUUGGUGAAAAUGAGGGUAAAUUAGUCAAGAGAAGAUAUAACAUCAAUGACACUAUUGAAUGUACAAUUCAUUUAAGGAUAACUUUGUCAUUUCAAAUGGUUAAAAGAUGUCUUUCACGUGUGAAUUAGCAGUAAAUAUUCAGUUUUUCAUGGUAAACAACCCAACCACACUUUCAUGCUCGUCACAAUUAUUUAUCAUUAGUGCAUCUUGAACAUGCAGAUUAAGUUAUUGAAAAGUCUACCUAAUGUUGGGUCUUUAUUUUUGAGUAGAAGGAAAGUGAAAUGCACUUAAGUGUAGCUUCUAACUCAAUUUCAUCUUUUUUUCCCUUGAGCUCCAAAAUUAUUUCUCGCAAAACUUAUUUCAUAUUUUUAGUCUUGGACCGUGGACAUCAUAUUUCUUGAAGAGUCUUUGAAUGGGCUGGUUGAUCCCAUCUAUAUCAAUGCCUACUCCACUUGCAUAUGGACAGAGUUACACGUGUUAUUUAUCAGACCUUGUGGCGUACGUGCAAUGUGACACUUUGCAGCAAGAGUCUCUUUGCUGAGACAUCUUCGAAACACUAAGAGGCAUGUUAGAUAACUAGUUAGCCACGAACUAGAAGGAGAAGAAGAAAGAGAAAGGAAGAGAAGGAAAUAUAUACAGAGAUGCCAGCAGCAGAUAAGACAGAAAGAGAAUCAGCAUGGAAUGCAUAUAGUGCGUGCAAUUUCAUAGAACAAGUUGUGAAAGCUUUCUCCAAAUGUUUCGGCCUUGAUAAAGCUAGAGAAGUAACACCAACAAUAUCUCAGGCUUUGAAGAGGCCACCAAGACCACCAUUGAGUGUAGGCCAAAUCAACCUUUUAUCGUCUUAGCUUAAAAAUAGCAUCAAUAUAUCACGAAUUUGUAAUACUCUAUGGGCUUAUUUAAUUUAGCUACAUGUUAUGUGUGCUUGAUUUUAGUCUCGUAAAAUCGUCUUAGAUUUCAUUGUAGUAGACUUUGGAGUUGUUUUCAGUUGCAAUGAAGAUGAUGAAUGGAAUCCGAAA